rnacentral:rRNA from 1 species
UACGUAGGGUGCAAGCGUUGUCCGGAAUUAUUGGGCGUAAAGAGCUCGUAGGCGGUGUGUCGCGUCGGCCGUGAAAACCUGCAGCUCAACUGUGGGCUUGCGGUCGAUACGGGCAUCACUGGAGUUCGGCAGGGGAGACUGGAAUUCCUGGUGUAGCGGUGAAAUCCGUAGAUAUUAGGAGGAACACCGGUGGCGAAGGCGGCUGCCUGGACCGAUACUGACGCUGAUGCACGAAAGCGUGGGGAGCAAACAGG